AUUGAACGCUAGCGGGAUGCUUUACACAUGCAAGUCGAACGAGUGGCGGACGGGUGAGUAAUAUAUCGGAACGUGCCCAGUAGCGGGGGAUAACUACUGGAAAGAUGGGUUAAACCCCCAUACUAUUGGAGCGGCCGAUACGGGCUUGGCUAGUUGGUGGGGUAAAGGCUCACCACGGCAACGAUCCGUAGCUGGUUUGGACGGACGACCAGCCACACUGGGACUGAGACACGGCCCAGACUCCUACGGGAGGCAGCGGUGGGGAAUUUUGGACAAUGGGGGAAACCCUGAUCCAGCCAUCCCGCGUGUAUGAGAAGGCCUUCGGGUUGUAAAGUACUUUUGGCAGGGAAGCGGUAUCUGCAGAAUAAGCACCGGCUAACUACGUGCCAGCAGCCGCGGUAAUAC
rnacentral:rRNA from 1 species